AGCAGCCGCGGUAAUUCCAGCUCCAAUAGCGUAUAUUAAAGUUGCUGCAGUUAAAAAGCUCGUAGUUGAAUUUCGGGAUCAAUAUAUCGGUCAUGCUUAGGUAUGUACUGGUAUUAUUGAUUUCUCCCUUCUGAAGAACCAUGAUGUCAUUUAUUUGAUGUCGUGGGGAAUCAGGACUGUUACUUUGAAAAAUUAGAGUGUUUAAAGCAGGCUUUCGCUUGAAUACAUUAGCAUGGAAUAAUGAAAUAGGACGUUUGAUUCUAUUUUGUUGGUUUCUAGGAUCGACGUAAUGAUUAAUAGGGAUAGUUGGGGGCAUUAGUAUUCAAUUGUCAGAGGUGAAAUUCUUGGAUUUAUUGAAGACUAACUACUGCGAAAGCAUUUGCCAAGGAUGUUUUCAUUAAU
rnacentral:rRNA from 1 species